ACCUGCGCAGCCAUUUCACGGUCAGAGAGGCCACCGCAGAUCUGAAUAAGGCGGUCAGAGAGCGUAGAUUUACCAUGGUCGAUAUGAGCGAUGAUGGAGAAAUUUCUUAUGUGCUUCAUUUAUAGGGAUAUCUUCGCUUAAAAUUCAGUUGAAAAUCUGAGCACAGACACAUUCAGGAAGAUCGCUCUUUACCCACAAUCCUGUCAGCCUCAUUAAUGACGACGCAUAUUACACUGUUAACGCCGCGCAUAAAAGAAUGGAACGUGGUGGAAGCGAAACAGAUAUCUGCGCAAGGCAGAACGGACAAAGGCCGCGGGAUGCGCGGCCUGGACGUACAUUACGCUUCGCUUUCAACACGCAGCGCAUCGGGAGGGAGGGCAAUGUUCAGAAUGACCGGCUGAAAGGCUUCGCGAUCGCCAAAUUUCUUUGAAACGCCUUUCGCGACAAUAAAACCGCCGAUGCCUCCCAGCAACGCGCCACAGGCGGCCGCCAGAUCGCUGCUGAACAGCGACUGAAACAAUCCGGCAACCACGAACAGGCCAAACAGCGGCGUCAUGUAGACCAGCAGCGCCGAACCCAGCAAGCUGCUCUCUUUGAUGCCUAACUCAAUGCGCUGUCCCGGCUGCAGCGGCUUGCUGCUGCCAAUCUGCAUCACGUGAGCAUUCUUCGGACCGAGUUUGUUCAGCAUAUGGCUGCCACAGCCUUUGCGUGCCUGGCAGCUGUUGCAGGACGUUUUUGCUUCGGUGUGCAGUGUGGCAAUGCCAUCCUGCCAUGCCACCACGGUGGCCCAUUCUCUCAUCAUUUUUGUGACCCCAGGUCGAUGCUGUCCGCAAUACGC
rfam:Pantoea vagans C9-1, complete genome.